rnacentral:RNase_P_RNA from 1 species
GAUGAUUGCUGACUACUAGUUAGUUAGAGGAAAGUCCAUGCUCGCACAAUCUGUGAUGAUUGUAGUGAUUACGCUAGUGGAAAAAAUAACACUAGGCACGUAGGAGUACGUGACGGCGGAAAUUAACCUAAAUGGCAACACAUGGUAAAAUUCCUGAAAGUGCCACAGUGACGGAGCUUAUUUGAAAGAAUAAGGUGGAACGCGGUAAACCCCGUAAGUGAGAAACCCAAAUUUGGUAGGGGAGACUUGAUAGAGAAACGAAUCGAUUCAAGUAAGAUUAUUCUUAGAUAAAUUAUCAUCCUAGACAAAACAUGGCUUAUAG